GGAGGAUGUUCCCCUAUUGUUUAGCCCGGACCCAUAUGUCUUACAUUGGAUAAAAAAUGCACUUAUGCAUGUGCAAUAGCCUUUUUUUACACCGAGUUAUAAUAUAAUUUCUAGGGUUUGCCAUUAUUUACAAGUUAGUUUUGCUACUUUGAAAAUUAGAUUAGUUAGUCUUUGUGGUUUAAUUCCAUCAAACCAUAAGAUCCCUCAGCCCAAUUUUUUUCGAUAUAUUCUGUUAGUCAAGGCAUAAAAGAGUAGUCAAAUGAGAGAGAGAAUUUUUUAUUCCCAUAGUACCCCUAAAUACUAAUUAAUACAUAGAUU
rnacentral:misc_RNA from 1 species